AUUCCGGGACCACCCAUACGUAGAAUGUAUGCACACAUGACUGUAAGUCGCUUUGGAUAAAAGCGUCAGCUAAAUGGCAUAUAUUAUUAUUAUAUUAUAUUAUUAAACACUUAGCUAGCUAUCUAGUUAUAUGACAUAAAAGCUAAAAGGCUAUAACGUGACAUUAACUGUAAAGCUUUCAGUCACUAGUGGAAAUAUUUACAACUGCAAUUAAGUUACGUUAUCUUUUUAAUGUAUUUUACCUCAGACGAUCUGGAAGUAAGGCUUAUGCUAACUAGCUAGCUGGUUUUACCGGUAGUGAAGUUGUUAGCUAGCAAGUUAGCAUAAACUAGCUAACUGGGCUAGUCAUUGUCUAAAUGACAGGUCGAAACACAUUAAACCAUUAACUUUUUCUGGUGUUAUUGGAGACUUUUGUCGACUCUGACGUGAAAGCACGUCGGGGGUAAUUAGCCCCCAGGGGCCAGUUACCCCCAAGUAGGGCGAGUUGCCCCCAACACACUCAUCCAACAUAUUACUACUUUACUCAAAAACUAUCCAAAUGUUUCUCUCUAAACAAGUUACUAUUUAUCUUAAGACUGUAAAAAACAAUUAUAGAUCUAACUUCAUUGGAAUAUAUAUAUAAAAAAUAUUUACAUCUCAAAAAUUACAUCUCAAAAAUGUGAUAAAUUUACCACCAAAUCGUUUAGAUUAAAUAUCUCUAUAUCAAAAGUUCUAUGGAUCUGCGGAGAAAAAUGGGAGAAACUCCCCAAAUACAGGUGUUGCAACCUUGUAGCAUCACACCCAAGAAGACAAGGCUGUAAUAACUGCUAAAUGUUCUUCAACAAAGUCCGGAGUAAAGGGUCUGAAUAAUUUAAAAAAUGUGAUAUUUCACUUUAUUAAAUUUGCAAAAACGGUGUCAUAAAAUCUAGCGGUCAAAAGGGAAAUGGUUCCAAUCAUUUUUCAUUUUAAAAUAAGGGCUAUGUUUUGUGUAUGGUUACACUGGCGUGACGAUUUGAUAACCAUGUACAUUUUUCUCGGACAAGGUGACUUUUAUCAAUAUACUCGGCUUUAUUUCAUCUCACGUUAUAAAACACUAAUUAGCAUCAAACAUUUAUGUACAAACAACAAAUCCCUGCAAGCUCCUGCACAUCAUCUCUAGCUGACACCUUUGCUAAUAGGUAUUGUGUCAAUUUAAAACUUGCACAAGACAGUUAACAGAAUUGUCCAUUUAAAUAAAUGUAGUCUACUUAUUCAUUACUACAUUUAGCUAACAUUAUAUAGUUAAUUCUGAGAUCCUGACCUUUGACUGGAUUCGGCAGUCUUGUCCAGAUCGUCAUGGUAUUUGUAGUUCUUUAGGAUAGCCACAUUAGCAGCUAAUUCGCAUUUUAUUUUGGGGGGGUAAAUACAGGCGAAUAUAUUGAUCAGUCACCUUGUUCUAGAGAGAUUUACACGGUUAUAAAACCGUUACAUAUAAGAUACCUCGUAAGAAAAAGAAAAAUAGCACACUAAAGAGGAAUGGGACAACAUUCCACAGGCCAUAAUCAACAGCUUGAUCAACUCUAUGUAAAGGAGAAGGGUCCGGGAGGAGGAGGCAGCGGCAGCUACCCCUUUCUCAUGUAAUGGGGUAGGGUCAUGCCAAGGAUCCUGGAAUGCAGUACUGUUGCACUGUGUUAGUGGGGGAACAGGAAGUUCCGGGCGUGCACCAGUCUUCGGUUUAAAGAAAGCGCCAGAACUGUGCAGUCAAGAAGAUAACCUUUGUGUCCGUUUCAAUUUAUCACUACAGGUCUGAGGCCGGAAACAUCAACAGUGAGGACAAACCCAGCCUGCCUUUCUACUUCCACACUGAAUCCAAACCUACAGUCACUGGGUCCUGAUUGUGUCAGUAGAGCCCAGUUUUUACAGCAGGAUCCAGAGAUGACAUCAGUGAAGCUGGAAGACUGCAGUCAAACACUGGAGCUGAAUGUCAUCAUUAAAGAUGAAGAAGAGGAGGAGAAGAUUGGGAAAUCUGUUUCUCAUGGAGACAAUGUUGAGACAUUCUCUACAUCCAGAGAGCAACAGCAGCAGGAAGAUCACAGAGCUAAGAGGUCUCACCACUGCCCACAUUGUGAGGAGCUUUUCCCAAUUCUAUCAAAGCUAAAAAUACACGUGAAAAUACACACAGGAAAUAAUCUGUAUCCCUGCUCUGACUGUGGGAAGAGAUUCACAACAGCAGGGUCUCUGACAGUUCAUCGGAGAUUGCACACUGGAGAGAAGCCGUACUCCUGCUCUGACUGUGUAAAAUGCUUCACAACAUCUACACAUCUAGAAGUUCAUCAGAGAACACACACAGGAGAGAAGCCUUACUCCUGCUUUGACUGUGGGGUGAGGUUCUCCCAACGGUGCACCUUAAAACAACAUGAACGUAUACACACGGGAGAGAAGCCUUACUCCUGCUCUGACUGUGGAAAGAGUUUCUCUCUACUGUGCAACUUAAAAACACAUAAACGUAGACAUACAGGACUGAAGCCAUUCCCCUGCUCUGAAUGUGUAAAAUGCUUCACGACAUCAACUGAGCUAAAAGUACACCAGAGAACACACACAGGAGAGAAGCCUUACUCCUGCUUUGACUGUGGGGUGAGGUUCUCCCAACGGUGCACCUUAAAACAACAUGAACGUAUACACACGGGAGAGAAGCCUUACUGCUGCUCUGACUGUGGAAGGAUUUUCUCUCAACCGGGCCCCUUAAAAAGACAUGAACGUAUGCAUACAGGAGUGUAGACAUAAUCCAGCUCUGACUGAUUACAAUGCUUCACAACAUCAGGUCAGCUAGAAGUUCAUCAGAGAACAGACACAGGAGAGAAUCCUUACUUCUGCUCUUAAUGUGGCAAGAGUAACUCAAGUGAAAGUCACCAAGUAGAAUACUACUUGAGUAAAAGUUUUUGCUUGUAAAUAUACUUAAGUAUUAAAUCUAAAAGUAUGAAUCAUUUCAAUUUUCUUAAAUUAACCUCUACGGGUUGGGUGUCCCUAAAACUGUGACUAUAAUGACGUUGUAAACAACAGAUUUUCGAGGACAUAGACAUGUCUUUUAUAUGGGCAGAAAGCUUAAAUUCUUGUUAAUCUGCAUUGUCCAAUUAACAGUAGCUAUUAGUGAAAAAAAUAGCAGGCUAUUGUUUGAGGAGAGGUUGAUACAAUCACCCCUGAAGGUAAAUAGUAUACUUACAUUCAGUAAUGUUGCUCUGAUUUGUCAUCUAGAGGGUCCUAGAGAUAAAAUGUAGCAUAGUUUAGUUUGAUAAAAUUAGUUUAUGUUCAAAUGUAGGUACCGGGUUCUACAUUUUGAACCCCUGCUGUCUCUUUGCGUCAGGCGCUGAGCUACAGGCAGCUAGAUUUGGGUAUGUCAUUUUAGGUGAAAAUGUAAAAAAAAAAAAAAAAAUUUUAAGGUAAGAUCCUUAAAAGGUUUUUAGGUGAACCAAAUAACACAAUUGUUUUUUAAAUUACGGCUAGCCAGGGGCACACUCCAACACUAUUUACAAAUGGACCAUUAAUGUUUAGUGAGUGCGCCAGAUAAGAGGCAGUAGGGAUGACCAGGGAUGUUAUCUUGAUGAGUGUGGGAAUUGGACCAUUUUCUGUCCUGGUAAUCAUAAAAUGUAACUAGUAUUUUUGGGUGUCUGGGAAAAUAUAUGGAGGAAAAAGUACAUUUUAUUUAGGAAUUUAGUUAAAUAAAAGUAAACAUUGGCAAAAAAUAUAAAUGGUAAAGUACAGAUACCCCAAAAACACCAUGCCGUGUGUCAGCAUUGCAGGGUGGUGGUGUGAAGGCGUGUGGGGUGUGUUUUGAGGGCACACAUUGUUCAACUUUUAUCAAGGGGCCCAAUGUUUGAAUACCACAGGAUAUCUAAACAUCAUUGCCAAUCAAAUUGAAUUUGUCACAUACACAUGGUUAGCAGAUGUUAAUGCGAGUGUAGCGAAAUGCUUGUGCUUCUAGUUCCGACAAUGCAGUAAUAACCAACAAGUAGUCUAACCUAACAAUUUCACAACAACUACCUCAUACACAAGUGUAAAGGGAUGAAGAAUAUGUACGUAAAAAUAUAUGAAUGAGUGAUGAUACAGAACGACAUAGGCGAGAUGCAGUAGAUGGUAUAGAGUACAGUAUAUACAUACAGUGUAGUGGGGAGAACAAGUAUUUGAUACACUACCGAUUUUGCAGAUUUUCCUACUUCCAAAUAAUGAGAGGUCUGUCAUUUUUAUCAUGGGUACACUUCAACUGUGAGAGAUGGAAUCUAAAACAAAAAUCCAGAAAAUCGCAUUGUAUUAUUUUUAAGUAAUUAAUUUGCAUUUUAUUGCAUGACAUAAGUAUUUGAUACAUCAGAAAAGCAGAACUUAAUGUUUGUUAUAGAAACCUUUGUUUGCAAUUGCAGAGAUCAUACGUGUCCUGUAGUUCUUGACCAGGUUUGCACACACUGCAGCAGGGAUUUUGGCCCACUCCUCCAUACAGACCUUCUCCAGAUCCUUCAGGUUUCUGGGCUGUCGCUGGGCAAUAUGGACUUUCAGCUCCCUCCAAAGAUUUUCUAUUGGGUUCAGGUCUGGACUGGCUAGGCCACUCCAGGACCUUGAGAUGCUUCUUACGGAGCCACUCCUUCGUUGCCCUGGCUGUGUGUUUCGGGUCGUUGUCAUGCUGGAAGGCCCAGCCAUGACCAUUCUUCAAUGCUCUUACUGAGGGAAGGAGGUUGUUGGCCAAGAUCUCGCGAUACACGGCCCCAUCCAUCCUCCCCUCAAUACGGUGCAGUCGUCCUGUCCCCUUUGCAGAAAAGCAUCCCCGAAGAAUGAUGUUUCCACCUCCAUGCUUCACGGUUAGGAUGGUGUUCUUGGGGUUGUACUCAUCCUUCUUCCUCCAAACACGGCAAGUGGAGUUUAGACCACAUGACCUUCUCCCAUUCCUCCUCUGGAUCAUCCAGAUGGUCAUUGGCAAACUUUAGACAGGCCUGGACAUGCACUGGCUUGAGCAGGGGGACCUUGCGUGCGCUGCAGGAUUUUAAUCCAUGACGGUGUAGUGUGUUACUAAUGGUUUUCUUUGAGACUGUGGUCCCAGCUCUCUUCAGGUCAUUGUAGUUCUGGGCUGAUCCCUCACCUUCCUCAUGAUCAUUGAUGCCCCAUGAGGUGAGAUCUUGCAUGGAGCCCCAGACCGAGGGUGAUUGACCAUCAUCUUGAACUUCUUCCAUUUUCUAAUAUUUGCGCCAACAGUUGUUGCCUUCUCACCAAGCUGUUGCCUAUUGUCUUGUAGCCCAUCCUAGCCUUGUGCAUGUCUACAAUUUCAUCCCUGAUGUCCUUACACAGCUCUCUGGUCUUGGCCAUUGUGGAGAGGUUGGAGUCUGUUUUGAUUGAGUGUGUGGACAGGUGUCUUUUAUACAUGUAACGAGUUCAAACAGGUGCAGUUAAUACAGGUAAUGAGUGGAGAACAGGAGAGCUUCUUAAAGAAACUAACAGGUCUGUGAGAGCCGGAAUUCUUACUGGUUGGUAGGUGAUCAAAUACUUAUGUCAUGCAAUAAAAUGCUAAUUAAUUACUUAAAAAUCAUACAAUGUGAUUUUCUGGAUUUUUGUUUUAGAUUCCGUCUCUCACAGUUGAAGUGUACAUAUGAUAAAAAAUACAGAUCUCUACAUGCAUUCUAAGUAGGAAACACUGCUGAUUUUGCAGGUUAUCAAAUACUUGUUCUCCCCACUGUAUGUCUGUUCCAUUUUUGGCGGGUCAAUUAAGGAAGACAUCCUCUUCUGGAAACCAGAACAACAGGAUAUCUUUAAAAAAGUACUGGACAGUUUUGUGACAUCAAAUGGACUUAGGUGGUCAAGAUGUGUUGGUAUCUGUACUGAUGGCGCGAAAGCCAUGACAGGGAGACAUAGUGGAGUGGUAACGUGCGUGCAACCUGUUGCUCCCGACACUACUACAGUGAAAAUUGGGACCUUUUGUUAACAUGAACAACACAUGUGGGAGAAAGAUGUACAUAUAGGGAGGAACAUAAUACUGUAACACAAGAGAAAGAUACACUUAGAGUGCAUUUGCCAUUCUGGUAAAAUGCAUUGUCUAUUGUAUAGGACAGGAGGCCAAAGCAUAAGCCUAUAGAAUAGAGGAAUGUAUAGUAUUUUUAGUACAGCCGGACACACUAAAAACAGAAGAGACAGUCUGCUGAUCCUAGAUAAGAACACGCAUACAAAAGAAUGCAUUAAGCUAAGUGCAGGGACAAAGCAAGCCUAUAGAAUAGAGUAAUGUAUAUUAUUUUUAGGACAAAGCAAGGUUCUUGCCACCAUUAUAAUCUGACGAAAAGCAGAUAUGGGCGUUAUUGGGCGUGAACAAGCAGGAAGCCUGAACUAAAAAGAUAAUGGUAGGCAGAAGAAUUAGGGGAAGUAUGUUUAUCUGCAUAUGGGUUGGACAGGAGCCGGGGCUCUGGGAAGCGGUGUGUGUUCCGCGGACCAUUCCGGCUUGUUAUACUUUGUAUUAAAAGCCUAUUUGAUUUCACAAGUUCUUGCAAGUGUCAUAUUUGAACCGAUUUUCCACGACACACACAGGUCUUUUCAUCAUUGUAUGAUUUUUUUUGUGUGCAAAUGAACUCAAGCUUACGGAAAAUGUUGAAUGUGAUCUAGCGAAGCACCUGAUUUAGUUUGGUGUGCAAAUACGCAGGUACUUUCCUGAAACGGAUGACACAAACUAAAUUUGUUAUCCCUUUCAUGCCCUGCCUCCAGUCCACUUACCGAUAUCUGAACAAGAGAGCCUCAUCAAAAUUGCAACAUGCGGUUCUGUGAAAAUGUAAUUUAAUCAGAACCUACUGCCAGAUUUCUGGAUUGGGCUGUGCUCAGAGGAGCCUGCCUUGGCAAAUUGCGCUGUUAAGACACUGAUGCCCUUUGGAACCACAUACCUAUGUGAGAGUGGAUUCUCGGCCCUCAAUAGCAUGAAAACUAAAUACAGGCACAGACUGUGUGUGGAAAAGGAUUUAAGACAGAGACUCUCUCCAAUAAAACCCAACAUUGCAGAGUUAUGCGAAUCCUUUCAAGCAAACCCUUCUCAUUAACCUGUGGUGAGUUUUUCACAAUUUUCAAUGAGCAAGUAAGGUUUUAUAUGUAAAAUUGCUAAAUAAAGAGACAAAUUGAU